UACGGAGGGUGCAAGCGUUAUCCGGAUUUACUGGGUUUAAAGGGUGCGUAGGUGGGUCUGUAAGUCAGUGGUGAAAUCUUCGAGCUUAACUCGGAAACUGCCAUUGAUACUAUAGGUCUUGAAUUAUCUGGAGGUAAGCGGAAUAUGUCAUGUAGCGGUGAAAUGCUUAGAUAUGACAUAGAACACCAAUUGCGAAGGCAGCUGGCUACAGGGAUAUUGACACUGAGGCACGAAAGCGUGGGGAUCAAACAGG
rnacentral:rRNA from 1 species